CCCGGAGCGCGCAGGACCCCGGGUCACGCUGCCCCAUCUCAGACUCGGGUGGGGACCCAAGAUUGCAACAGGGAAAGAAGGCUCCCCAGACAUUGGAGGAAAGCUUCCGCCUGGAAGUGGACAGACCAGAGCAAAUGGAGAGAAGGAUCUGGGAUGGGAGAGCCAACGCAGAGAGCAGGAGAAAGGCUUUGAAGAAUCUAUAAUUAAACUCAAGUGAGAAAAAUGCA